CUUCACACUACUGUUUGUAAUGCUGACAAUAUCGAUUUGUAUCUUUCCAAGAAAGAUACAAAUCGAUAUCCUCUCUCCUUUCUAAGAAAGAAAUGGAGAGAUACUAUGAGUCAAGCUUGACCAACUGCAUUUGCUUGUGUGACACUUCACAUUGUAGUAAAAGGCUUAAUACUGCUACUCCUGUCCAUAAUUGUGGGGUUCAUACAUGUGAGUUUAUGCCCAUUUUCGUUCCUUGCACAAAUUUGCACAAUUUGCAAAGUGCGGUCCACAAGGACGAUCA